UGACUNGAGUGCAGAAGGGGAGAGUGGAAUUCCAUGUGUAGCGGUGAAAUGCGUAGAUAUAUGGAGGANCACCAGUGGCGAAAGCGGCUCUNUGGUCUGUCACUGACGCUGAGGCUNGAAAGCGUGGGUAGCGAACAGGAUUAGAUACCCUGGUAGUNCACGCCGUAAACGAUGAGUGCUAGGUGUUAGGCCCUUUCCGGGGCUUAGUGCCGGAGCUAACGCAAUAAGCACUCCGCCUGGGGAGUACGACCGCAAGGUUGAAACUCAAAGGAAUUGACGGGGGCCCGCACAAGCGGUGGAGCAUGUGGUUUAAUUCGAAGCAACGCGAAGAACCUUACCAGGUCUUGACAUCCCGAUGCUAUUUUUAGAGAUAGGAAGUUACUUCGGUACAUCGGAGACAGGUGGUGCAUGGUUGUCGUCAGCUCGUGUCGUGAGAUGUUGGGUUAAGUCCCGCAACGAGCGCAACCCUUAUUGUUAGUUGCCAUCAUUAAGUUGGGCACUCUAGCGAGACUGCCGGUAAUAAACCGGAGGAAGGUGGGGAUGACGUCAAAUCAUCAUGCCCCUUAUGACCUGGGCUACACACGUGCUACAAUGGUCGGUACAACGAGUUGCGAGCCGGUGACGGCAAGCUAAUCUCUGAAAGCCGAUCUCAGUUCGGAUUGGAGGCUGCAACUCGCCUCCAUGAAGUUGGAAUCGCUAGUAAUCGCGGAUCAGCACGCCGCGGUGAAUACGUUCCCGGGCCUUGUACACACCGCCCGUCACACCACGAGAGUUUGUAACACCCGAAGUCGGUGAGGUAACCUUUUAGGGGCCAGCCGCCU
rnacentral:rRNA from 1 species